rnacentral:rRNA from 1 species
UGGGGAAUAUUGGACAAUGGGCGAAAGCUUGAUCCAGCCAUGCCGCGUGUGUGAAGAAGGUCUUCGGAUUGUAAAGCACUUUAAGUUGGGAGGAAGGGCAGUAAGCGAAUACCUUGCUGUUUUGACGUUACCGACAGAAUACGCACCGGCUAACUCUGUGCCAGCAGCCGCGGUAAUACAGAGGGUGCAAGCGUUAAUCGGAAUUACUGGGCGUAAAGCGCGCGUAGGUGGUUCGUUAAGUUGAAUGUGAAAGCCCCGGGCUCAACCUGGGAACUGCAUCCAAAACUGGCGAGCUAGAGUAGGGCAGAGGGUGGUGGAAUUUCCUGUGUAGCGGUGAAAUGCGUAGAUAUAGGAAGGAACACCAGUUGCGAAGGCGACCACCUGGGCUCAUACUGACACUGAGGUGCGAAAGCGUGGGGAGCAAACAGG